AUACGUAGGUGGCAAGCGUUGUCCGGAUUUACUGGGCGUAAAGGGAGCGCAGGUGGCUCAUCAAGUCUGGGGUGAAAUCUCCCGGCUCAACCGGGAGGGGUCUCUGGAUACUGAUGGGCUUGAGGGAAGCAGAGGAGAGCGGAAUUCCCGGUGUAGCGGUGAUAUGCGUAGAUAUCGGGAGGAACACCAGUGGCGAAGGCGGCUCUCUGGGCUUUUCCUGACGCUGAGGCUCGAAAGCGUGGGGAGCGAACCGGAUUAGAAACCCCAGUAGUCC
rnacentral:rRNA from 1 species